UACGUAGGGUGCAAGCGUUUGUCCGGAAUUAUUGGGCGUAAAGAGCUCGUAGGCGGUCUGUCGCGUCUGCUGUGAAAACUCAGGGCUUAACCCUGAGCUUGCAGUGGGUACGGGCAGACUAGAGUGCGGUAGGGGAGACUGGAAUUCCUGGUGUAGCGGUGAAAUGCGCAGAUAUCAGGAGGAACACCGAUGGCGAAGGCAGGUCUCUGGGCCACUACUGACGCUGAGAAGCGAAAGCCAUGGGGAGCGAACAGG
rnacentral:rRNA from 1 species